AUAGAGGCAAAGAUUCAGGAGCACCAAUCCUGCUCAGACUUUUUAAUUUCCUGUUGGAGUCAUUGGCUUGUCCUCUGUGACUCUAUUUUAUCUCAACUCUAGAUCCUGUUAUUUUGAUUCUUGGUCUUAUUAUGAACCAGAUUUUUUACUACAGUUUUAGUACAUUUAUUUCAUUUUUAUAAUAUGAUUAAUUUUGACAGCUAUUGAAUGAUAAGCAAUUUGUUGGCCUUUUCUAUUUAUAUGUGCUAUGGUUGGCCCAGGAGCUAACCUUG
rnacentral:misc_RNA from 1 species